GAUGAAAAUGCUUGAACCUAA
rnacentral:miRNA from 1 species